rnacentral:rRNA from 1 species
GCGCGAAAACUUUACAAUGCGGGAAACCGUGAUAAGGGGACACCGAGUGCCAGCAUCAUAUGCYGGCUGUCCGGGUGUGUAAAAUACACCCGUUAGCAAGGGCCGGGCAAGACCGGUGCCAGCCGCCGCGGUAACACCGGCGGCCCGAGUGGUGAUCGUGAUUAUUGGGUCUAAAGGGUCCGUAGCCGGUUUGGUCAGUCCUCCGGGAAAUCUGACGGCUCAACCGUUAGGCUUUCGGGGGAUACUGCCAGGCUUGGAACCGGGAGAGGUAAGAGGUACUACAGGGGUAGGA